UACGUAGGGUGCAAGCGUUAAUCGGAAUUACUGGGCGUAAAGCGUGCGCAGGCGGUUGUGCAAGACAGAUGUGAAAUCCCCGGGCUCAACCUGGGAACUGCAUUUGUGACUGCACGGCUAGAGUGUGUCAGAGGGGGGUAGAAUUCCACGUGUAGCAGUAAAAUGCGUAGAUAUGUGGAGGAAUACCGAUGGCGAAGGCAGCCCCCUGGGAUAACACUGACGCUCAUGCACGAAAGCGUGGGGAGCAAACAGG
rnacentral:rRNA from 1 species